UCUAAACGACUCUCGGCAACGGAUAUCUCGGCUCUCGCAUCGAUGAAGAACGUAGCGAAAUGCGAUACUUGGUGUGAAUUGCAGAAUCCCGUGAACCAUCGAGUCUUUGAACGCAAGUUGCGCCCGAAGCCUUCUGGCCGAGGGCACGUCUGCCUGGGCGUCAC
rnacentral:rRNA from 6 species